rnacentral:rRNA from 1 species
GGAUUAGAUACCCUGGUAGUCCACGCCGUAAACGAUGUCUACUAGCCGUUGGAAGGAUUUUCUUUUUAGUGGCGCAGCUAACGCGAUAAGUAGACCGCCUGGGGAGUACGGCCGCAAGGUUAAAACUCAAAGGAAUUGACGGGGGCCCGCACAAGCGGUGGAGCAUGUGGUUUAAUUCGAUGCAACGCGAAGAACCUUACCUGCCCUUGAAAUCUUAGGAACUUGAUAGAGAUAUCUUGGUGCCUUCGGGAGCCUAAUGACAGGUGCUGCAUGGCUGUCGUCAGCUCGUGCUG